CUUGGGAGUCAGUCACAAAGGGCAAAGAGGGCCAGGAAGGAUAGACAUCCCUCAAGAAGGGAAUCUUAAAGGUGCAGGAGCAGGCUGUAUCCCUGUGCUGUAAGCCAAACCAGUGGGAAGAAGACCAGUGCGGCUGAACAGGAAACUUUUGCUGAGACUCCAGGAAAAAAAGAGAGUUACUAUCUUUGGAAGAAGUAUCAGACAACUCCAUAGAGUAUAAGGAUGUCACUAAGGCUUGGAAAUCUGGAGAAGUUCCAGAGUUGACUGGUGGAAAGUAAACAUCCUGAUUUUCAAGAAGUGCAAGAAAGAAGACAUCAGAAAUUGCAGGCCUGUCAGCCUCACUUCAGCACCUGGAGAGAAAACAACAUCAUUUGACAUAAUACACAGUGUGAUGAAACAGAUGGAGAAAACACACUGCUGUUACUCAACUGAAGUCAACAAUGCUGCACUUGGUUUAUUUUAAUUCAUACAGUAUCAAAAGAGGAGGAUGUUUCUGAAUUUCAAUCUCUCUCUCCCCGCUUUGGGCGUAGUUCAGCGCCCCAUAUCUGCAAAGCAAUGUGAUCGUGUUCAUCUUCAACCGACCAGCUAUUCUACCCAAUGUUAUCUUCAGUG